CGCCUCCCGCCCACAAGCAGGUGGCCGUUGGGGAAGGAGGGGCGGUCGCCAGGCAUUCUGGGUAACCGCAGGCCACCAAGCAGGUGUCGCGCGACUGGGACCCCCUCUCCCUUCCCCACGCCGGACAUCUGGGCCCUUCCGUGGCAAGCAGGGCCGGCACAAGCUGUUCCCCCAUCAUCAAGGCCCUCUCCGGAAAAAUGCUAUUGCUUGACUGCAUGUCCCCUCCUCCAGGCAGCACCCCAUGCUGCCCCCCACACGCAGCCUCCUUAGCUUUCCUUCUGUCGAUCUGCCUGCCAAGAAGUUUCCCAGUCUGACACGAGAGAUUUCACGGUGAUUUCAGGCCUGUGGCUGAGAUGGAGCUCCAAGAAUUCCUGGUCAGAGCAUCGGAAGGAGCAGAUUCACCAGCAACCCCUUCCCUGCCUGCCCUUGAGCUUGUCCAGGAAUGGGGAGCUCAGCCCACCCCCGCAGAGGGGAUACACACUCAGCUUGAAAGAGGAGAGCUUAGCUCUCUGCAGGGCCUUUCUCAAGACAAAUGGACUCUGGAGAGUGGGGCUGCCGAAGCAUCACCAGCUCUCCCCACACCGCCCCUGCCCAUGCUUCUCCCAGGAUGUCUGCCUUCCUCCCCUGCAUCGGACCAACAUCAUUCUCCCCUCCCAUUUCAUCUUCCGAAAAACGUCCGAAACCGAGGCUGCUUUGCUUGUUCAGAGGCUGGGUGCAUGGGCCCCUCCAGGCAGGCCAGGAGCCUGGCCUCCCAAAAUCCAGGGCUCACUUUCCUGAAUGUAAAUCAGACCUUGUGAUCCACUGGCUCAAAGCUCCCCAUUGCUCUGAAUAAAACCCACAGUCCUCCCAGGUCAUGAGGCCCAAAGGCCCCACUGUCCGCACCCUGGUUGCCCUGUGAUUGCUCCCAGCUCACUCCCUUCUAGCCACACCUGCCUUCCGGCUGCUCCUGUUCCGACCCCAGGGCCCUUGCACAUGCUGUCCCCACUGCCUGGAAUGCUUUCACCGGCCACUUGCACCUCAUCCCAUAUCUCGUUCAACAUCAUCAUACUUUUCCCUUUACGUAGCCUGCUGUCUGCCCUCCUGGACCAUGGGGAUCCGCCUCCUCCUCACCCCUUCCCUCGCUGCCAGCACAGGCCCAAAGACUCAAGGUCUUUGAGGGGCUGGAGUCCUAGGAAGCAAACAGAGGCCCACAGUGGGGUGAGGACCCCAGGCAGGUGGGUCCUAGAGGCACCCCCACCCAAGCUCUGGCGGCCUAAGUGGACCAUUUUUUCCCCUCCCCGGCUCUAAAAUAGCGAUGGGCUUGCUGUGUUGGCAUUCCCAGUUCCAAGUUGGCGGGCAAACCAGGGGCGGGCGCCUGGCCCCUGCUCAGGGUGGCGCCUGUGCGGGGGAGGGGCCCAACCCCAAAACCAAGCCAGUGCAAGCGAGACAAAGCUUGCAUUUUCUCCAUUAGUGCGGAAGCAUGAUGUGCAAAUGCUCCAUGGGAGCCGCAGAUAGAGACAGCAAUUCUCACUAAGGGGUUAAUGACUGACUUGGGAUGGGUUCCCAGACAGAGGGCUCCUGAGGC